rnacentral:rRNA from 1 species
CCUAGAAAUUUGGGCAAUGGGCGAAAGCCUGACCCAGCGACACCGUGUGGAGGAUGAAGUCUUUCGGGAUGUAAACUCCUUACAGGGGGAACGAGGCCGUUGCGUAGUAACUGCCGCAACGGUGACGGUACUCCCAGAGGAAGCCCCGGCUAACUACGUGCCAGCAGCCGCGGUGAUACGUAGGGGGCGAGCGCUGUCCGGAUUCACUGGGCGUAAAGGGUGUGUAGGCGGACCGGCCGG